AUCAUGUGCAGGAGGUACUGGCCAGCAGCCAGGAGCCCUGUGGUCCCUAUGAGGAACCACCAAGGUUCCUGGCCUCGCACCACCAAGGGCAUAUGCACCACCGACUACUUUUCUAGUUUCUGUAAUAUGUAGUGAUGUAGGGCCAUCAAAGUGGACCUUUUCUUGGGCUGUUGUUAAUGUCAAAUUUAAUUUGGCCAAGAGGUCUCACUGAGGGCUGCACUCUCAUCUCAUACUCAAGAUAGUUCUGUGACACGCACCUCUGGAAAGCCUGGUGCCUAGAUGGCAGGGUCCUUCAUGUGGAGCUAUGAAUUCAGAGGAAGUGAUAAGCAGUUGGUCCUGCUUCUCUAGGAAGCCUGGCUUCGUGUAGAGCAAAGGAAGGUGGGGGCCACUUGAGUUACAUCUGGCCCCACAAGCUAAAGGGGACACAGAGGUUCAGGGGACCUCCAUUUUUUUUGUACAAAGCAGAAUGGCAGUGUCUCCGUGCACAAAUCCAUGAAGCAAUAUGCCUGACAUCCAAUGCUUCCCUAGGCCCAAAGAGUCAUUUCAAGUGCUUCUGCAUCUACUCAGGUACCUCCUGACAGCAGGCUUGACACCAGCUACUGUCCAGCUCCCCAGUAAACCAGAUUCCCUCAUUGCUCCUAAUGGGGUCUAGACUGCAGGAGGAGGAAGCAGGUGGGCAAUGUCCAGAUUUCCAUGAUGACCCUCCGAGGAGAUACCCGUGGCUAGGUUACUGCACAACUACAGCAUCACAGAGGAGACUCCAGAACUCAAACUACCAAGACUCACUGAGAGAUUUACAUUCUAGCUCC
rnacentral:lncRNA from 1 species